rnacentral:lncRNA from 1 species
UGUGGCUGGGAACCUCACCUCUGCCACCCUCAGCCCAGGGGAGGGCGCCCUCCUGUCAGGUGCCUGAGUCCCUGCGGCUGGUCUUGGGGAUGAGCCUGGAGACAGCCAGAAGCCGGGAGGACAGGAGUUGGCCUUGAAAAUGGGAGUCUCCCGCUUACCCCACGGAAGAGCUGCUGUGAGGUGGAGGCAGGACUCGAGCGUGCUCAGGAACGGGACGGGAGCCGCCCUCAUUCUCCAGCGUCCUCCGUGCCAGGCUUCGUGCAAAUCUGAUUUGUGCAAUGACUCCCCCUCAGCUUCCACCCCAUUGGCCUUUUCAGUGAAGCCCACACUCCCCGAUACCCAGGGACACAGAAGCCUUAGGUCAC